AACGCUAGCUACAGGCUUAACACAUGCAAGUCGAGGGGAAACGAUAUUGGAAGCUUACUUCCGAUAGGCGUCGACCGGCGCACGGGUGAGUAACGCGUAUCCAACCUGCCCACCACUUGGGGAUAACCUUGCGAAAGUAAGACUAAUACCCAAUGAAAUCUCUAGAAGACAUCUGAAAGAGAUUAAAGAUUUAUCGGUGAUGGAUGGGGAUGCGUCUGAUUAGCUUGUUGGCGGGGUAACGGCCCACCAAGGCAACGAUCAGUAGGGGUUCUGAGAGGAAGGUCCCCCACAUUGGAACUGAGACACGGUCCAAACUCCUACGGGAGGCAGCAGUGAGGAAUAUUGGUCAAUGGGCGAGAGCCUGAACCAGCCAAGUAGCGUGCAGGAAGACGGCCCUAUGGGUUGUAAACUGCUUUUAUAAGGGAAUAAAGUGGGAGUCGUGACUCUUUUUGCAUGUACCUUAUGAAUAAGGACCGGCUAAUUCCGUGCCAGCAGCCGCGGUAAUACGGAAGGUCCGGGCGUUAUCCGGAUUUAUUGGGUUUAAAGGGAGCGUAGGCCGGAGAUUAAGCGUGUUGUGAAAUGUAGAUGCUCAACGUCUGCACUGCAGCGCGAACUGGUUUCCUUGAGUACGCACAAAGUGGGCGGAAUUCGUGGUGUAGCGGUGAAAUGCUUAGAUAUCACGAAGAACUCCGAUUG
rnacentral:rRNA from 1 species